AUUAUAUAAUAUAUAUUAUUUAUAGGAGCCUUUAAUGGGUUAGUUUAGUGAUAGGUUAGUGUAAGGUUUAAUAUGAGUGUGCACUUAACCACCCUUUCACUCGGCCUUACAGGUCUCUUAUGACUCGUCUCUAGUAGUGCAAUCAAUGAGGAUAUUUGACUCCGAAUUCAAUCCUACUAUAUCGAUUGACUUGAUAUUUUCACAGUAAGUAGGAACUAGCUCAAGAAAUAAAGUCCAAGCUAUAUACUAUGGAGAUUUCAUCUUGGGGGCGGUUCCCACCCCUUCAAAUGGGUAGAAAAUUUUUUGGUCAAAAUAAACAUGGAAGUGGCUAGAGAACCUAUGUACUUCUAAGCCAAAACUGAUCUAUAUUUUUUUUGAAAACUCAAUAUUUUGUGAGUUAUCCGUGAUUGAAAAUUGGCCAUUUUCAUUGAAAAAUGACACCUUUUAGGUUGAUUUUUUGCGAAUAACUUAAAAACUAUGCAUCUAGCUAACAAAACUGUAUAAAACAUUUUUGUAGCUUAUAAAAAAAAACAAAGAGAUUCGUUUCUUCAUAAAUCUACUAGUUAUAAUACAAAAAGAGAUAUGGUAGGUGAAAAUAGUUUGUUUUUUGUGCAUGCUCAAAUAGGUGUAUUCAACUUGAAAUAACAGAGAAACGGUCGAUUUUAGGUGUACAAUGAAAAUCCCUUUAAAAUGAGCAAUAUUAAAUGUCGAUUACAUUCAAACUAAGCGAGAUAUGCUGCAAAAAAUAAUGAUGACUAUUGUAUUUUAAGAAAAAAUGGGUUUAUUUAACCCCUCAUCCACCAGAAUUUAAUUGCAUCGUUUUCCUUUUACAAUACCUUUUAUUAUAGUGUUGUUUCCAUGCCCAAAAAGUUCGAUAGGUUUAAUGAGAACGGUUUUUGAAAAAAAAAAUAAGAUUAAAUUAUAGAGCACAUAUUUAAGUUUUCUUGAAAAUCGUCUUUUUCUCCAUGUAACUCGAAAAUAAUAAGAGAUUCAAAAAAAUAUACGGUACAAGAAUGUAGGGUUUUUUUAGAUAAAAAUUUUGAUUUUGUUUUUCAUUACUGUAUCUCUUAUUAUUUUCAAGUUUUGAAUAUGGCCGAUUUCGCAAUGUUUUUAAUUUUAAUCGGUUAUAUGUCAAAACUAUCAGCUUUAGAGAAAAGUCACUAAAGACAUUUUCUGUUUGGAAUGAUCCAAAAAACCUAAAAACACUUUGUUCGCUCCGACUAUUCUUUGUAAUCGAAUGGAACUUGCAAUCCCAAAUUAUUAUCAAAUUACCAAAAAUGGAACAGAUUUUCUAUUGUUUGAUUCUGGACCAAGUGAAGAUCGGAUAUUAAUUUUUUCCACUCAAACAAAUUUGCGGAUUUGGCUCAGUCCAUGCAUUGGUACGUCGAUGGCAUGUUUAAAUCUGUACCACAUAUUAUUAUAUUCUGUCAUUUAUAUACAAUCCAUGGUUUGCACUAUAACAAUGCUAUACCAUUAGUGUGCACUACUACCAAAUAAAAUCCAAGGAACGUAUCCUUGGAUUCGUAGCACGAAAAACUCCUGUUUUUCGGUCUCCUACUGUUCGGUCUAGUGAGGUUUCGGUAAAGUGCUCUUCGGUCUAAUGAGUUCGGUUUACUGCUUUCGGUCUCAUGAUUUUGGUCUCUUUACAGUAAACCGAAAAUCAUUAUGGGAUAGACCACGUAGAACAGACCUCAGGCAAAGCUGUAAUAUAGAGAAUAUAAAUGACUGGACACUUCUUCUUCAGGUGCCAUGUCCGCUACGGAGAUUGGCAAUUUUCAUAGCUAUUUUAAUAGUUGUUUUGAGCUGCAUCCAAACCUUUCUCUCAGGUUCUUCAGCCAUGAAAUUCAUCUUCUUCCGAUGCUUCUUCUGCCAUCUAUCUUUCCUUGCAUUAUGAGUCGUAUAAUGCCAUACUAUGACUGGACACUGAAAAGAUAAAAAGAAUAGUAUAGCCAUAUAAGCAGAAUGGAAAAAGAAGACUGGUGUAGACAGCACGAGAUAGAUCACCAAAAGGCCGAAGGAGUAUAGGAAGGCCAAGGAAGAGAUGGAGUGUCAACCUGGAUAUCUGAUGAGGAGGCAUCCGACGAUGGAACAGCCGCGAGCCUAUUAAGGAAGCAGGAAGAAGAAGAAGAAGAAGAAGAACACAUCUUCUAAUACAAGAGUAAAUAAUUUUGGAGAGAUAGUCUCCCUGUCUAACUCCUCUCUCCGUUCUUAGUUUGCUAAGGUUGCUUGUUGUUAGAGCUUAUGAUACAUUUAUUUGCAUAGUUGCAUUGUCGUAUAUGUAUUUGAGGAGUAUUCUCUAUAUAGAAUUAUUAAUCAUUGCGUUAUUCAUUCCUUAUAAUACGGCCCAGAGUUCUAUGUAAUCGAAUGCCUUUUUAUGCUGCUUCAUCAUAAAGGGAAUUUAGUAUUCAAUAUUAAUGUUGAGGGACAAUGUUAACAUAAAGUUAAAAGGGUGUCUUAUUGAUUUAAGCAGACGGGGAAAACAUCUUCAUAUAAUAAUGCAUUGCGGUUUGAUUCGAAUGUGGUUCUUUUAAAUCAUAUCCGCUAAUAAUUGAUUUAAAGGGAAAUAGGUACUAGUAAACAUUUCAGAAAAGCAAAUUAAAAUAAAAAUGUGUAUAUUUGAUUGUAUCGCCGCCCUAUUAAUGUUAGUAGACAAGUAAAACAAUUUAGCAAUGCUGCUUUAUUUUAAAUGUGGUUCUUUUAAAUUAUAUGUGAUAAUAUUUAAUUAAAAAAAAUAAUAUUAGAUAUCAAAGAAAAGAAAAUUCCCUUAAUUUUAAAUAAUUACAUUUUUAUUAUGUAUUCAAAUCAAUAUCAUAUUAUUAGCAAACGUUUAUGAAAUAAAUACUUUUAAUUAAUUAAAUUAAGCAGAUCAACUUAAUUAUUUUAACGUGAUUUGUUGUGCAUUUUAAAACGCAUAAAUUUUCUGAGUGUAUAUUUUCCAAUUUGCUACUCGACAGAGUCUAUAGGGCUUUUCAUUCACAGUCAUUUGUUUCGAGCUUCUGUCAUGUGUCACAUAAUAUUAAUAUAUCCACGACAUACGUUAUUGGUAUAUACAAUAAUACAAACCAAGACGUAUGAUGUAGAUAUAUUAAUAUUAUGUGACACAUGACAGAAGCUCGCAACAAAUGACAAUCCAUGAAAAGUCCUAUUGUUCUUGUCUGCUAAGUACAGAUUUUAAAUUCUUCCAUACAUUUCUGUUUUCUUACGAAAACUACAUAUUUAAUUUAAAUUUACGGUCUAGUCCUUUUUCAAUAAUAGUGUAAUAAUAAAUAUUUCAUUGUUUCAGGUAGGUAACUAAUAAUAAAUCAAGGAAAUAUUGCAACUACUAGAAAAAA